GGGACCCCCCCCGAGCCCGGCUACGUCAACUACACCAAGCUGCGCUACGUGCUGGAGCCCGGCGAGCCCCCCGAUGAGCCGGAGGACGACAAAAUCUCGCUGCCCUUCGUGGUGACCGACCUGAGCGGCCGCAGCCUGCGGCCCCUGCGCGAGCGAGCCACGGCCCAGGGGCAGUUCCUGACGGUGGAGCAGCUGACGCUGGACUUUGAGUACGUCAUCAACGAGGUGAUCCGCAACGACGCCGCCUGGGCCCGCCAGUUCUGCUCCUUCAGCGACUACGACAUCGUCAUCCUCGAGGUG